AAUAAUUCCUUAAUCCCCAUUUUAUCCCCAAAUACCCCAAAAAAUGGGUGGGGUUAGCUAACCCCAAGCUAACCCCACCUCAAAUAAAUUAUCUCGGAUUAGCUAAUCCCACCAAACUCCAACCAAACACUAUUUUCUAUUCAUAAUAACCCACUAUCUUUCUUAUCACAUAUACUCCAACUAAUCAUUAUCCUUCUUUAUCAAUCAUUAUCUUUUUAUCCCACCUACUCCAACCAAACACUAUUUUUCAUUAUUCUAGACUAACUCCAAUCCCCAACCAAACACAAAAAAACUUUAACCUCAUUUAACCCUGAACUUAACUCUAUUCCUGAAAUAGCUACUUUUUCAUUAACCCCGAACCAAACGGAGGCUAAAAAUUAUUGCUGCUCAAUGUGUAAUCUACUAAAUUUUUUCUCGAAAAUUGUAAU
rnacentral:lncRNA from 1 species